UAGGGAAUCUUCGGCAAUGGGGGGAACCCUGACCGAGCAACGCCGCGUGAGUGAAGAAGGUUUUCGGAUCGUAAAGCUCUGUUGUUAAGGAAGAACGAGUGUGAGAAUGGAAAGUUCAUACUGUGACGGUACUUAACCAGAAAGGGACGGCUAACUACGUGCCAGCAGCCGCGGUAAUACGUAGGUCCCGAGCGUUGUCCGGAUUUAUUGGGCGUAAAGCGAGCGCAGGCGGUUAGAAAAGUCUGAAGUGAAAGGCAGUGGCUCAACCAUUGUAGGCUUUGGAAACUGUUUAACUUGAGUGCAGAAGGGGAGAGUGGAAUUCCAUGUGUAGCGGUGAAAUGCGUAGAUAUAUGGAGGAACACCGGUGGCGAAAGCGGCUCUCUGGUCUGUCACUGACGCUGAGGCUCGAAAGCGUGGGGAGCGAACA
rnacentral:rRNA from 1 species